rnacentral:rRNA from 1 species
CAGCCGCCACGGGAAUACGUAGGGUCCGAGCGUUGUCCGGAAUUAUUGGGCGUAAAGGGCUCGUAGGCGGUUUGUUGCGUCGGGAGUGAAAACCUACAGCUUAACUGUGGGCUUGCUUUCGAUACGGGCAGACUUGAGGCAUUCAGGGGAGAACGGAAUUCCUGGUGUAGCGGUGAAAUGCGCAGAUAUCAGGAGGAACACCGGUGGCGAAGGCGACUAUCUGGGCCAACACUGACACUGAGGCACGAAAGCGUGGGGAGCAAACAGGAUUAGAUACCCCUGUAGUCCCUGUCUCUUAUAA